GCGCCGGUUAGCUCCGUGGUUUGAGCACGGUGCUGACAACAAUGACAACACCGAGGUCGCAGGUUCGAUUCCUGCUCGGUCCC
rnacentral:tRNA from 1 species